ACUUAAAUUGAAGAGUUUGAUCAUGGCUCAGAUUGAACGCUGGCGGCAGGCCUAACACAUGCAAGUCGAGCGGUAGCACAGAGAGCUUGCUCUCGGGUGACGAGCGGCGGACGGGUGAGUAAUGUCUGGGAAACUGCCUGAUGGAGGGGGAUAACUACUGGAAACGGUAGCUAAUACCGCAUAAUGUCGCAAGACCAAAGUGGGGGACCUUCGGGCCUCAUGCCAUCAGAUGUGCCCAGAUGGGAUUAGCUAGUAGGUGGGGUAANNCGAUUGACGUUACCCGCAGAAGAAGCACCGGCUAACUCCGUGCCAGCAGCCGCGGUAAUACGGAGGGUGCAAGCGUUAAUCGGAAUUACUGGGCGUAAAGCGCACGCAGGCGGUCUGUCAAGUCGGAUGUGAAAUCCCCGGGCUCAACCUGGGAACUGCAUUCGAAACUGGCAGGCUAGAGUCUUGUAGAGGGGGGUAGAAUUCCAGGUGUAGCGGUGAAAUGCGUAGAGAUCUGGAGGAAUACCGGUGGCGAAGGCGGCCCCCUGGACAAAGACUGACGCUCAGGUGCGAAAGCGUGGGGAGCAAACAGGAUUAGAUACCCUGGUAGUCCACGCCGUAAACGAUGUCGAUUUGGAGGUUGUGCCCUUGAGGCGUGGCUUCCGGAGCUAACGCGUUAAAUCGACCGCCUGGGGAGUACGGCCGCAAGGUUAAAACUCAAAUGAAUUGACGGGGGCCCGCACAAGCGGUGGAGCAUGUGGUUUAAUUCGAUGCAACGCGAAGAACCUUACCUGGUCUUGACAUCCACAGAACUUUCCAGAGAUGGAUUGGUGCCUUCGGGAACUGUGAGACAGGUGCUGCAUGGCUGUCGUCAGCUCGUGUUGUGAAAUGUUGGGUUAAGUCCCGCAACGAGCGCAACCCUUAUCCUUUGUUGCCAGCGGUUAGGCCGGGAACUCAAAGGAGACUGCCAGUGAUAAACUGGAGGAAGGUGGGGAUGACGUCAAGUCAUCAUGGCCCUUACGACCAGGGCUACACACGUGCUACAAUGGCAUAUACAAAGAGAAGCGACCUCGCGAGAGCAAGCGGACCUCAUAAAGUAUGUCGUAGUCCGGAUUGGAGUCUGCAACUCGACUCCAUGAAGUCGGAAUCGCUAGUAAUCGUAGAUCAGAAUGCUACGGUGAAUACGUUCCCGGGCCUUGUACACACCGCCCGUCACACCAUGGGAGUGGGUUGCAAAAGAAGUAGGUAGCUUAACCUUCGGGAGGGCGCUUACCACUUUGUGAUUCAUGACUGGGGUGAAGUCGUAACAAGGUAACCGUAGGGGAACCUGCGGUUGGAUCACCUCCUUACCUUAAAGAA
rnacentral:rRNA from 1 species